rnacentral:rRNA from 1 species
AUACGGAGAGGGCUAGCGUUAUUCGGAAUUAUUGGGCGUAAAGGGCGCGUAGGCUGGUUAAUAAGUUAAAAGUGAAAUCCCGAGGCUUAACCUUGGAAUUGCUUUUAAAACUAUUAAUCUAGAGAUUGAAAGAGGAUAGAGGAAUUCCUGAUGUAGAGGUAAAAUUCGUAAAUAUUAGGAGGAACACCAGUGGCGAAGGCGUCUAUCUGGUUCAAAUCUGACGCUGAAGCGCGAAGGCGUGGGGAGCAAACAGGAUUAGAUACCCUGGUAGUCCACGCUGUAAACGAUGAAUGUUAAAUAUGGGAAGUUUACUUUCUGUAUUACAGCUAACGCGUUAAACAUUCCGCCUGGGGACUACGGUCGCAAGAUUAAAACUCAAAGGAAUUGACGGGGACCCGCACAAGCGGUGGAGCAUGUGGUUUAAUUCGAUGCAACGCGAAAAACCUUACCACUCCUUG